UCUCAGGAAAUCAGAUUGACAGAACCUAAAGUGCAGCUUUGCCUCCGCUCCACUAGGCGGCACAAGCGGGUUUCAGCUUCAGUCUGACACCUCCGGCUGCUUGACAACAUGACGCUUGAUGACAGUCACAACAACAACACGCGCCGAUCCUACAGAAGACAGCUGUUAAUGUCAGUUUAACAACAUCUUUUUCAGCUAAUCUGCAAAUAAAACCGACACACGCUCUGAUAAACGCUGGAUUCGAGUGUGACGCGACUCGCCUAAUGAGUGGUAUCUUGGUUGUAAACUGGUCCGGCUGAAGCAGAGCUCUGGGACGUGUGGACAGACAUUGACUGUAAUGAUGGACAUCUGCUCAUGGACAGCAUAACCGCUGCUGGUCACAGUGGCGGAAGCUCCAGGGGGAGACCGUAAUGAUAUCCCCCUUCUUUGGGCGCGCCUUCACACACACUCCACCAUUCACUCAUAUCACAGAGACCUGGCUGGGAUUGAACCAGCAACCUCUGAACCAUGAGGCAGCGCUCUUACCUGUGAGCCACAGGUCUCUUGUUGAACCACUGGAAGGAACUUAUAUUUGACUGUUUACCUGUGAUUUCCCAAUAAAGAAGUUAAAGUAAA